CCGUUCCGUAGGUGAACCUGCGGAAGGAUCAUUAC
rnacentral:rRNA from 1 species